UACGAAGGGGGCUAGCGUUGUUCGGAUUUACUGGGCGUAAAGCGCACGUAGGCGGAUCGUUAAGUCGGGGGUGAAAGCCUGAGGCUCAACCUCAGAACUGCCUUUGAUACUGAGAGUCUCGAGACCGGUAGAGGUAAGUGGAACUGCGAGUGUAGAGGUGAAAUUCGUAGAUAUUCGCAAGAACACCAGUGGCGAAGGCGGCUUACUGGACCGGUUCUGACGCUGAGGCGCGAAAGCGUGGGGAGCAAACAGG
rnacentral:rRNA from 1 species